UUCAUUUGACCUGCUUCCAGCUCCCUGGAAUAAUUAUCUUUGGUGGGACGAUCCUCGUGUGCCUGGUGUGCCUGCUUGCUAGUAGGAGGAAUAAUAUCUGUUCAUUCUCCUACCGGAACACCAAUAAUGUAUAUGUGCAUCGGCCCCAAGUCAUCAUUGAAAACACAGUGUUCUCAAGUGGACAAGACCUUCCACUGGAUUGUUCAAGAGAGAUCCAGCCUUACAAGAAGGAAAACUAGAGACCAAAAUAAAUCCUCUUCCUUCUCGAUGGGUAUCAUCUGCUUCUUCCUUUCCUAAAAGACUGGGGGAGCUAUCUCUCAUAGUGAGUACAUUCAGUGGUGCAAGUGGCACUCAGAAGUAGACUCAUGCCUUGCCUGUAUUAGGACUUUAUUGAACCCAAAUACCACAAAAUUCUUUAGCUCAGCCCUGCUAGCCUUAACUGAGAAAGUGGAAAUUUAAGAUGGGAUCCGUGCAUUGUAUGGUGUCAACACCCAUGGCAUGGUUUAGUAUCAUACCAUAUGCUUGUUUUUCUGCCUGUGAACUUGUGAGAUAGAAAAACAGCUACCUAGUCAUCCAAUUUUACUGUUUUUAUUUUUAUUGGAUGUUUUGUGUACUUACAUUUCAAAUGUUAUCCGCUUUCUCCCCUCUCCCAACCCCUUCCCCUGCAUCUAUGAAGAUGUUCCCACUCCCACCCACCCACUCUCAAUGUUACUUGUUAUCAUUCAUUCACAUAAUAAAUUUGGACUGUGCAGUUGA